UCGAAAUACAAAACUGGUUCGAACCGGUUUCGUUCUUAUAUUUCACUGUAUAAACUACAAAAACAUUCGUUUGUAUUAUACAUUCGCCAUUUUACGCAGCGACUGCACGGUCGACGUGUGCAAUCUCUCCGGAAAAAGCUCGUUUUGAGGCUGUAUUUUUUUGAGCUUUUCAUUUUUUACUUCCACUUAAUAACAUGGGAAAAGCCAAGGCAACCGUCCCCCCUGAGCAAAGACGAACCUCCCCACGUCUGGCACUGAAACCUAAAGCAACUUCUGUGGAGACUAAGAAAAAAGCUGCUCCAAAGAAGGCACCCAAAGCGAAGAAGGCCAAGCCAGCUGAGAAUGGCAACACCAAGGCUGAGGAGCCAAAGGCUGAAGCCACCGAAGCCAAGUAAAUAAUGGUUGAUGUGCUCACUCAGUGUACUUGGUGAUUGUACAGUUUUAAAUAAGUAUUUUUUACCAAGUUUUAUAUUACAAAUGUCAUUUAUAGGUUUGUUUUUGGGCUUGCACUUGAUGUAACAAGACUUUGUUUUCACAUUCAUAUCCAUUUUUCGUUCCUCGUCAGUUUUAAAGCUUUUACCGUCCAUAUCUUGUAGACGUGGCAUUUUUAGUUUGUCUAAUCUGUGUUAUUUUAUUUUUACUGCUGAGGAAUAGACAUCUUCAUGUUGGAUUUUGAAUAAUUUUAAACAGAAGGCAGCUAAAGUAUAGUAAAAAUAAAGAAAUAAACUUACAGGAGAAUAGGAAAUUUGCCUUUUCUCUCCCUGUAUUUUAAUGUUCAACUAAUAAACCAAAUGCUUUAAAAUCGGCAUAUUUCAGUGUAGGAUCUAGUCAGUUAAAAUGCCACAGAAAUUUAGUCUUCAUUAGAUCAAAAUUUGGUAGAUCCUGGCUGUAACUGGUCAUCGGUUAAAGAAAUCUGUUAACUUGUUUCUGUAUGGGAGGUAGGGUGGGUUGUUUUUUGUUUUCUGACAUCAUUGGUUAUCCUAAAUGUUCUUGAAUAAAAAUCUUCAAAAAUG